GCCCGGAUGGCGGAACUGGCAGACGCGCACGUUUGAGGGGCGUGUGGUUCAUCCGUGUGGGUUCGAGUCCCACUCCGGGCACCA
rnacentral:tRNA from 1 species